rnacentral:rRNA from 1 species
CCUACGGGUGGCAGCAGUCGAGAAUCAUUCACAAUGGGGGAAACCCUGAUGGUGCGACGCCGCGUGGGGGAAUGAAGGUCUUCGGAUUGUAAACCCCUGUCAUGUGGGAGCAAAUUAAAAAGAUAGUACCACAAGAGGAAGAGACGGCUAACUCUGUGCCAGACGCCGCGGGAAUACAGAGGUCUCAAGCGUUGUUCGGAAUCACUGGGCGUAAAGCGUGCGUAGGCUGUUUCGUAAGUCGUGUGUGAAAGGCGCGGGCUCAACCCGCGGACGGCACAUGAUACUGCGAGACUAGAGUAAUGGAGGGGGAACCGGAAUUCUCGGUGUAGCAGUGAAAUGCGUAGAUAUCGAGAGGAACACUCGUGGCGAAGGCGGGUUCCUGGACAUUAACUGACGCUGAGGCACGAAGGCCAGGGGAGCGAAAGGGAUUAGAUACCCUUGUAGUC